AUUGAACGCUGGCGGCAGGCCUAACACAUGCAAGUCGAGCGGAUGAAGGGAUCUUGCUCCUGGAUUCAGCGGCGGACGGGUGAGUAAUGCCUAGGAAUCUGCCUGGUAGUGGGGGAUAACGUCCGGAAACGGGCGCUAAUACCGCAUACGUCCUGAGGGAGAAAGUGGGGGAUCUUCGGACCUCACGCUAUCAGAUGAGCCUAGGUCUGAUUAGCUAGUUGGUGGGGUAAAGGCCUACCAAGGCGACGAUCCGUAACUGGUCUGAGAGGAUGAUCAGUCACACUGGAACUGAGACACGGUCCAGACUCCUACGGGAGGCAGCAGUGGGGAAUAUUGGACAAAGGGCGAAAGCCUGAUCCAGCCAUGCCGCGUGUGUGAAGAAGGUCUUCGGAUUGUAAAGCACUUUAAGUUGGGAGGAAGGGCAGUAAGUUAAUACCUUGCUGAUUUGACGUUACCAACAGAAUAAGCACCGGCUAACUUCGUG
rnacentral:rRNA from 1 species